AUGUCUUUUUAAUUAUUAUUUGUCUUUCCAGACUCAGUCACCUCUGCCUUUGUUAUUCAGUGUGCAGCCACCUCCUCUGUAACAGACAGUUAAAAAAGUUAUUUGAUAAUAUUGAUUUCUGAGAAGCUUCUAAAUAAAUGUUUUAACGGACAAACCAUGAUGUCUCAUUACAUCCCCACCAGGCCUUGGAAAAUUGUCAGCAAGGACUUGAUCAGUCAUCGGCAUCAUCAUCAAUAUUUUAAUUGUGGAGCAUUUCUCAGGUUUUUAGAAGAUUGAACUGCUUUCUGACCUAUCUGCGGAGACAGUCAUCAGGCCCUGCAAGGCUCAGUUUGCUCCACAUGGCCAUCCAGACAGAAUUAUCACAGAUAAUGUAUUAAUAAUUGCUUUUGUGAAUACAGUCUCUGAAAUUCG